ensembl:lncRNA
CUCAGAAGCAUAGAAAGCAAAAAAAAAAAAAAAAAAGUGAGAUGGUAUAAUUAGGCCACAAUUUCAUUAAAAGAACCCACCUGGGAACUGCUGUUAAUAACUUGCACAGAAGAGGGCAAGGUUCCUUCCCUAAUUGUUUUCACCUGCAGGAAAGUUGGCUCCUCCUUCUGCUGCCACACACCUCCCCUGAAGGGAUCUUCUCCCACCCUUCUUCCUUUUUCCAUUAUGGUUCCUCAGCCUCAUCCUCGGGCUCUCCUGCCCACCAAGGGCUGGAGACCCAGAAGAAGGAGAUAAUUUCCUUACAGGGACACAGACAGAGCUUGGUCCCCUGCUGCACUCAGCUGAUUUGGUUUUAUCAGCAAGGUGUCAGCUUCCUUGUCAGAACAUCUGGAAUCACAGCAUCAUUUGAAGUGGAAGGGACCCUUAAAGGCCAUCUAAUUCAUUUCCUCUGCAAUGAUCAAGGACACCCACAGCAAGAUCAGAUUUCUCAAAUCCUCAUCCAGCCUGACCCUGGACGUCUCCAAGAACAGGACAUCUACCACCUCUCUAGGCAACCCAUUCCAGUUCCUUACCAUCUUUAUCAUAAAAAUCUUCUUCCUUACAUCCAAGCUAAAUCUCCUCUCCUUUUGUUUGAAACUAUGCCCCCUUGCACCAUCAGAACCAGCCCUGCUAAAGAGUCUGUCCCCUUCUUCCCCAGGAAGGGGGCACUAGGCUCAAAACCCAGGAUAUUGCUUCUUCCUGAAUGAAACAGAAAGAUAUGGUUUCAGCAGCUGGUAUGCCAGAUCCUCAUUCCUGAAAAGGAAAUAUUGCAACAAACCCUAUUACAAUAUGAGUCCGCUGCAACUAAUGAGAGAAGGAAAGGCUGCCUGGGUUCGUAAUGGUGCCCUUUCCUAACUGGAAUUACACUGUUCUGCUGCCUGUGCAAACAAAGCCAGAAAGCUUGCAAAUGAAGCAGAGAGCAAGGGGAGGGAAUGAUGCCAAAGGAAGCAGUGUGGCCAAGGUUGUGCAGGCAGCCAGUGGCAGAGAAAGCACUCAGCCUCCUAAUUCCCAGUUCUUUCCUCUUGUCAUCUGAAAAUGUUUUAUUUCAGGCACACGCCAUUUGCUGGUCUCCAUGGGUCAAAUUGGACCAGAACAUUUCAAUGAAAAACAGUCAUUUUUAUGUUCCAAGAAUCACAGUGAACAAUCCUGAGCUGAGGUUUCUUAGGUAAUACACAGCUGUUAGACAGAAUGAAAGUUUGCUAUAAGUGAUUGCUGUUGAAAUGCAAGAGUGAAGGAUGACUUUGGAGAGUCUCAGGAGUAGCUCAGGUAAUGUAUGUCCUCCCACAGAUAGAACAAGGAAAUUACAUAGGGACAAGACAAAAAUCAGAACAGUUUUAUAUUAGGCUCUGUCCUCUAUUUGUUAGGGUUCUUGCCUUCACUCUUGUCAAAUCAUAAAUGUGUUUUUCCUCUUUAUUCUGUGUUACAGCUGGAAAGAUUAUCGUGGUGAAAAUGGGAAAAGAAACAAACAGGAAAGGAAUGCUCACAUCUAUCCAAAGAUCUAGGUUCACAGAAAAGACUCCACAAAGAAGGGAUCUCCAGAAAGGGCUCCUCCUCUAGGGGCAGUCAGCCCUUAAAUAGGGUCUAGGGCCUUCUGGUUGCACAGGUGAAUUGCUUUCAGCUGUGCUCCCAUGGCUGAC